rnacentral:rRNA from 1 species
GACGAACGCUGGCGGCGUGCUUAACACAUGCAAGUCGAACGAAGUGGCGAACGGGUGAGUAAUACGUGAGUAACCUGCCCUCCUUUUUGGGAUAAGCCUUGGAAACGGGGUCUAAUACCGAAUAAAGGGGGAUGGGCUCGCGGCCUAUCAGCUUGUUGGUGGGGUGAUGGCCUACCAAGGCGGUGACGGGUAGCCGGCCAGAGAGGGUGACCGGCCACAUUGGGACUGAGAUACGACCCAGACUCCUACGGGAGGCAACGGUGCGAGAUAUUGCACAAUGAGCGAAAGACUGAUGCAGCGACGCCGCGUGGGGGAUGAAGGCUUUCGGGUUGUAAACAUAUUUCGCUAUCAAACGGGUAGGUGGAGAAGAAGCGCCGGCUAACUACGUGCCAACCGGCGCGGUAAUAC